rnacentral:rRNA from 1 species
UACGGAGGGUGCGAGCGUUAUUCGGAAUUACUGGGCGUAAAGCGCGUGUAGGCGGCAGGGCAAGUCUGGUGUGAAAGCCCGGGGCUCAACCCCGGAAGUGCAUUGGAAACUGCUCUGCUUGAGUACCGGAGAGGAAGGGGGAAUUCCCGGUGUAGCGGUGAAAUGCGUAGAUAUCAGGAGGAACACCGGUGGCGAAGGCGGUCAUCUGGCCCACUAUUGACGCUGAGGCACGAAAGCGUGGGGAGCAAACAGG